GGGCCCGCACAAGCGGUGGAGUAUGUGGUUUAAUUCGAUGCAACGCGAAGAACCUUACCAGGGUUUGACAUCCUGCGAAUCUCUUGGAAACGAGAGAGUGCCUUCGGGAGCGCAGUGACAGGUGGUGCAUGGCUGUCGUCAGCUCGUGUCGUGAGAUGUUGGGUUAAGUCCCGCAACGAGCGCAACCCACGUCUUUAGUUGCCAGCAUUUAGUUGGGCACUCUAGAGAGACCGCCGGUGAUAAACCGGAGGAAGGUGUGGAUGACGUCAAGUCAUCAUGCCCCUUACAUCCUGGGCUACACACGUACUACAAUGGCCGGUACAGAGGGCUGCAAUACCGCAAGGUGGAGCGAAUCCCAAAAAGCCGGUCUCAGUUCGGAUUGAGGUCUGCAACUCGACCUCAUG
rnacentral:rRNA from 1 species